UCCCUGACACCAAAAAUAAAUAAAUAAAUAAAUAAAUAAAUAAAUAAUCAUAAUGCAGUUAGAUUUAAGUGUCUUGUUCUUAAGAACAUAUAUUAGUCUCUUGUCACGAUUGUGCUCCCAAAUGACAAAAAUUUCUGUAGAAGUACAAGCGGUGGCAAUUCCCAAACUUGUAUUAAGUGAACAGUGAGCUCCCUGAUGAUCUCUUCAAGCAAGGCCCUUAAUGGAAAACAUGUAUUUAAUAUUUACUUUCCAGGGAGUUGUAAAGGUACCACAAAAAAACUACAAUCCCCUCUAAUCUUUGCAUAACUAUCAGGCUUCUGGAAUUAUUAGACUUGUUCAUUUUAAAAGUUUCACAGGAUGUAGCACCAAGUUCUGCUCAAGGGCUAAGCAUUAUUUAACAGGCAGUGACUCUCAGUCCAGGAGUAUAAGAAACACAGCUAUUUUAAAGUUGCCUUUAAUGUCCAAAGAGUACAAGAAAACACCCAGAAGAAAAAUAUCAUUAAUAUUCAACUACUUUUCUGCCACAUUUAUUUUAUCUGUAGGUGAGAAUGCUGAGUGUUACAUGAACAUUUAUCAGAGAGCUUAUUUUCCUGACUGCCAUCAUGUGAUGUGACAGGACUCAGGGUACAACCCGCUGCCAUUGAGAGGCGAGAAGCACAGAGCAAUGACCAGCUGAGGACACAGACCACUUGUUUCCUGGAGCAUGCAUGCUUCGUGCCUGCUGGCCAUGUGAGAGGACAGCUGGGACAGGGUGGAGACAUUUGAUGCAACAAAUGUGUGAGGCAAAGUCACCAUAAGAGGAAAACACAUAAAGGGGAUGGAGAGAAGCUGAAAAGAGAUCUGGAGAUGGAUGGUGGUGACUUUGAACAACAAAGUUUCCAAUCUAGGUUUGAAGUCAAUCCCACAGAAGGAUCCCAGUAGAAACUGGUCAAGAGAAUCCAUAGGAAUCAACUUCCCAGGAAACUAAAAAGUAGCAAUCCCUGAGCCUGCUGCAAAAAGUAGAGAAAUGGGGGAAGCAAGAGAAAGGAGAUUUUGAGAGAAAUACACAAACAGCAGAGUACAACCUCAAGCCAGGAGGCUUAGCCAGGGCUGGCUGCAAAGGGGGGCAAAGAAAGUGUAUAAAGGUAGAAUCAGAGGGAAAUCUUUCCCAUGUGUUACUGAAGACCUAUCUAGACACAAAAUUAUUGUCUUCAGUCCUCUCCCUUCCAGCAGGAGGAUAAGAAAGGAGUGUAAGUUAGAAAGAGAGGGGGAGAGGACAAGAGAGACACGAGUAUGUAUUGGAUGCCUACCGUAGACCAAGAAACUUGUUAGAUACAGAAAAUACGUCUCAUUGCAUCUUCACAUUCUAAAGCAUUACGUGUUAUUCUCAUUUCACAGAUAAGGAAACUGAGGACCAAUGUGUCUGAAUACUUUGCCCAUUGCCUCAGGGCUCAUCCCUGAUGGAACUAUGAUGAAAUCUAGAAAUCUCUGAUCCAAGGCAGCUGUUUCCAAGAAGUGGAAAGGAAGAGGGUCAAAGUCUUCAUUUAAGGUUGUUUCUUGGAAACAGAAAAUUUACAUACUUUUGUAUGUAAACAUUUCUUGAGAGUAAAAAACAGAAUAGAUGAAAAAAUGUGAUGUGGAUACUGCUUUUGAUUAGCGUCUCGAAUCUCUGUAUAAGUAGCCAACAGAAAAGAAAAAUGAAGAAAACUAGAUAGAUUAGUUUACUGGGGAGUAGGAAUCUGAAAAACCAUAUGGGGCUUCACAGAAUUUCAAGACUAAACAGUUUUAAAGUAGCAUAACCAGGUAAGUGAUGCAUUUUUUAUUUUCACAUUUCACUUUUAUCCAUCUUAAAAUCAAGGCUACAGAGUCCUGAUCCCAGCUGAAAACAGGGUCUGAGCUUUCAGCCGGAAUGACCGUGAUGU